UACGGGGGGGGCAAGCGUUGUUCGGAAUUACUGGGCGUAAAGGGCUUGUAGGCGGCCAACUAAGUCAGACGUGAAAUCCCUCGGCUUAACCGGGGAACUGCGUCUGAUACUGGAUGGCUAGAGAUUGGGAGAGGGAUGCGGAAUUCCAGGUGUAGCGGUGAAAUGCGUAGAUAUCUGGAGGAACACCGGUGGCGAAGGCGGCAUCCUGGACCAACACUGACGCUGAGGAGCGAAAGCCAGGGGAGCAAACGGG
rnacentral:rRNA from 1 species